CUUGUGUACGUCAGCCGCCAAAGUAUGAGGGUCACCGCAAGCUAAUGGUCUUGUUUGAUUAACUUGAACAAAAAUGGAGAAACUGAGGAGCAGAGAGGUUUAAUAAGUGGCACAAGACUGCACAGAGAAUAGAGUUAACAAUAAUUUUCAUUUCUGUGAAGAUUAAACAAAAUGGUAAUGUGAAAGAAGGUUGAAAGCUGUAAGAUGCCUUCCAAGAAGUCAUUUCAGCCCAGUGUGGUGAAACAAUGUUCAGCCUGUAUACCUGUGAACCUUCAGACUGGUCAAAACACACAACCCAAAUUUUUGGAGGACAAGGUCUUUAUGUUCACUGUGGCACCAGUGUACCACAUGGAAGAAUGCAAACAACCCUCUCCAGUACGGUCUGCCAUAGGCUAAGAAUUAGGCCAUGCUACGUAAAACACCAAAAUUCAAAAUACACCAGUUUCUUUCUUCAAUAAGCACUCCCCUAGACACUGCAAGUGUUUGACAAGAUAACAAAUUUCUGAAAUAGUUUAUACUGACAGCUCUUGCUAGCUCAAUAGUUAUUUAAGUGGAGGAACUGAUUCUUAGAGCUUCCUACUCCACCAAAUUGUUUAUAAUUUAUAUCUGUUAUAGAUUAUGACAGAUAAUAAUUAUAUAUACCAUAUUUAUAUAUAAUAUGUAAUAAAUCAUUAAUAUCUAUAAUCAUCAUUAAGCUGUUUCAUAGUAUAAUUUUUGUGGGUUUUAAUUUGUAUCUGUCUUUUACUGUUUUUGUUUUUGCCCAGAUUUCCACAUACAUACUUCCUCACUGCAUGAUCUCCCUGUGUCUGGUUUUUUAUUUUACAUCUCUUAACAGUUCUUCUUCAUAUAUAAUCUGUUAGAAUUGUGUGUUUUCUUGUUUUAUAGGAUAUGUAGCUUUAUUUUCUGUUUUUCCUUCAUUCCUUUAUUCACAGUGUAUUUUAGCCUGGGGGAAUGGGCAAAAACAUCACUUCUUUUCUAUCUUAAUUGAAAUCCCAAAUCAGAGUCUUCAAUACUGGAUUUUAAAAAAAAAUUUUAUCCUUGGCAUGAUUUAAUAAAACAGAAACAUUAUUUUUAGGGGCUAAAAAAGGCAAUAAAUUUAAAUUUAACAUGAUAUUUUUGUGCUUG